rnacentral:rRNA from 1 species
UAAUGUCUCUUCCUUCAAGGGUUGAGAAGAAAGGUGCAAACCGCUUUGAGACGGGCUUAUCUCCUAUCACGGCAGUUGGUAAGGUAACGGCUUACCAAACCUACGACGGGUAGCUGGUCUGAGAGGACGGUCAGCCACAUUGUGACUGAGACACGGCCCAGAACUCCUACGGGAGGCAGCAGCCGGGAAUAUUCGGCAAUGGGCGAAAGCCUGACCGAGCGACACCGCGUGAGCGACGAAAGCCUUCGGGUCGUACAGCUCUUUUAUUUGGGAAGAAUGCCUAGUAAUAUGUUCGACGGUACCAUUUGAAUAAGCCCCAGCUAACAACGUGCCAACAGCUGCGGAAAAUACGUAGGGGGCAAGCGUUAUACGGAAUCACUGGGCGUAAAGGGUACGAAUGUGUACCCGUAAAGAUUAGAAUGUAAAAUCGCAAGGCUCAACCUUGCGGCUGCAUCUAAUACUGACAGGAUAGAGGAUAGGUGACGGAAGUGGAAUUCCUGGUGGAGAGGUAAAAUCCGUAGAUAUCAGGGGGAACACCCGUGGCGUAGGCGGCUUCCGAACCUAUUCCUGACACUCAGGGACGAAAGCUAGGGGAGCAAACAGGAUUAGAUACCCUGGUAGUCCUAGCUGUAAACGAUGAAUACUAGAUAGUGGGUGCUACACCGUACUCACCGUCGUAGCUAACGCGUUAAGUAUUUCGCCUGGGAACUACGACCGCAAGUUUGAAACUCAAAGGAAUUGACGGGUCCCCGCACAAGCAGCGAGGCAUGUGGCUUAAUUCGAUGCAACACGAAGAACCUUACCUGGACUUGACAUGUUUCUGAAAGGCCGGAGAAACCCGGUCCCUUCCAGUUUACUGGAACAGUUUCACAGGUGGUGCAUGGUUGUCGUCAGCUCGUGUCGUGAGAUGUAAGGUUAAGUCCUUAAACGAGCGUAACCUUUGUCAUUAGUUGCCACCGGUUCGGCCGAGCACUCUAAUGAGACCGCUAGCGACAAGCUAGAGGAAGAUGGAGAUGACGUCAAAUCCUCACGUCCCUUAUAUCCAGGGCCGCACACAUGCGACAAUGGUAGAGACAGCGGGUUGCGACGGGGUAACCCUGAGCUAAUCCAUAAACUCUGCCUCAGUACAGAUCGAGGGCUGAAAUUCGACCUCGUGAAGAUGGAGUUGCUAGUAAACGCAGGUCAGCUCUACUGCGUUGA